GCUCGUCUAGAUGAGUUGGUAGAGCGCAAGGCUCUUAACCUUGUGGUCGUGGGUUUUGAGCCCCACGGUGGGCA
rfam:Ipomoea nil DNA, scaffold: scaffold2779, cultivar: Tokyo-kokei standard.